rnacentral:tRNA from 1 species
GGAGGGGUACCGAAGUGGUUAUAACGGGAUCGUUUCGAAAACGAUUGUCCGAGCGAUCGGACCGUGGGUUCGAAUCCCACCCCCUCCGCCA